GAUGUUGGGUUAAGUCCCGCAACGAGCGCAACCCUUGUCUUUAGUUGCCAUCAUUAAGUUGGGCACUCUAGAGAGACUGCCAGGGAUAACCUGGAGGAAGGUGGGGAUGACGUCAAAUCAUCAUGCCCCUUAUGCUUAGGGCUACACACGUGCUACAAUGGGUAGUACAGAGGGUUGCCAAGCCGUAAGGUGGAGCUAAUCCCUUAAAGCUACUCUCAGUUCGGAUUGUAGGCUGAAACUCGCCUACAUGAAGCUGGAGUUACUAGUAAUCGCAGAUAAGAAUGCUGCGGUGAAUGCGUUCCCGGGUCUUGUACACACCGCCCGUCACACCACGGGCGUUGGAGACGCCUGAAGCCGAUUAUCUAACCUUUUGGCAGAAGUCGUCGAAGGUGGAAUCCAUAACUGGGGUGAAGUCGUACCAAGGUAGCCGUAUCGGAAGGUGCGGCUGGAUCACCUCCGUUCUAAGG
rnacentral:rRNA from 1 species